UGGCGCCCAACGUGGGGCUCGAAAACGAGGGACUCUGUGAGGAAGAGGACGCUAAAGAACGGUCGACCAUUAACAAAGACAAAAGAAGUUAAACUCUUCCGAUCACCGCGGGAACCUGCCGUGUCAGAAUCGAAGGUAGGUGACGCGUCCGAAAUGGGACAAGAAUUAAGUCAACAUCAAGUUUAUGUAGGACAAUUAAACGAGGCUUUAAAGAUACGAGGAGUAAAGGUUAAAGGUAAUGAUUUGUUUAAAUUUUUUGAUUUUGUAAAAGACACUUGCCCUU
rfam:Papio anubis isolate 1X1155 chromosome 4, whole genome shotgun sequence.